rnacentral:rRNA from 1 species
GGAUUAGAUACCCUGGUAGUCCACGCCCUAAACGAUGUCUACUAGUUGUUGGUUCCCUUGAGGAAUUAGUGACGCAGCUAACGCAUUAAGUAGACCGCCUGGGGAGUACGGUCGCAAGAUUAAAACUCAAAUGAAUUGACGGGGGCCCGCACAAGCGGUGGAGCAUGUGGUUUAAUUCGAAGCAACGCGAAGAACCUUACCUACUCUUGACAUACCUGUCGUACUUUCCAGAGAUGGAUCGGUCAGUUCGGCUGGACAGGAUACAGGUGCUGCAUGGCUGUCGUCAGCUCGUGCUG